rnacentral:rRNA from 1 species
CCUACGGGAGGCAGCAGUGGGGAAUAUUGGACAAUGGGCGCAAGCCUGAUCCAGCCAUGCCGCGUGAGUGAUGAAGGCCCUAGGGUUGUAAAGCUCUUUCGGCGGGGACGAUAAUGACGGUACCCGCAGAAGAAGCCCCGGCUAACUUCGUGCCAGCAGCCGCGGUAAUACGAAGGGGGCUAGCGUUGCUCGGAAUCACUGGGCGUAAAGGGCGCGUAGGCGGAUCUUUAAGUCAGGGGUGAAAGCCUGAGGCUCAACCUCAGAAUUGCCUUUGAUACUGAAGAUCUCGAGACCGGAAGAGGUAAGUGGAACUGCGAGUGUAGAGGUGAAAUUCGUAGAUAUUCGCAAGAACACCAGUGGCGAAGGCGGCUUACUGGUCCGGUUCUGACGCUGAGGCGCGAAAGCGUGGGGAGCAAACAGGAUUAGAUACCCUGGUAGUC